AAUCCUGAAUUCGAAAGGGAUCGGAGUCAGCUGUAUCCGAACUCAGGCUGCCCCCUGCCAGAUGGCGCCGGUCGCCCGCAGGCGAUUCAUUUCGCUUGCGGUGUCGUUCCCGGGGCUUCUGCGGGGUGGUGUACCGCUCUGAGAUUAAAACGGUGCGGCGCAUUUCCUCCCUAGUAGAAACGUCGCGACCCGUUGGGUGGCGGUCUAAGGCCCGGGCAGGCAGCCCGUGCGUCCCGGGGCGGGUUAAACCGUCGCGGGCGCGCGGACGUCCGGUGACCCGGCCGGUCGCCCGACGGUAUGACCAGAGGAGUCGAUCCGCUAGAAUUCGGUUGCGUCCGGCCCUCCGCCGACGCGAGGGGGGUGGUCCGCCAGGCGUUUCGGAUCCAUCCCUGUCUCGUCGUCGGUUCGCGAGGUGUCCUCGGACUGGAUCAGCACUCCUGUCUGCGACGCCCACCUUCGGAUGGUCUCCCG
rnacentral:rRNA from 1 species